rnacentral:rRNA from 2 species
CCUUCGGGGUGGAUUAGUGGCGAACGGGUGAGUAACACGUGGGCAAUCUGCCCUGCACUCUGGGACAAGCCCUGGAAACGGGGUCUAAUACCGGAUACGACACGCUCAGGCAUCUGAUGCGUGUGGAAAGCUCCGGCGGUGCAGGAUGAGCCCGCGGCCUAUCAGCUUGUUGGUGAGGUAACGGCUCACCAAGGCGACGACGGGUAGCCGGCCUGAGAGGGCGACCGGCCACACUGGGACUGAGACACGGCCCAGACUCCUACGGGAGGCAGCAGUGGGGAAUAUUGCACAAUGGGCGCAAGCCUGAUGCAGCGACGCCGCGUGAGGGAUGACGGCCUUCGGGUUGUAAACCUCUUUCAGCAGGGAAGAAGCGCAAGUGACGGUACCUGCAGAAGAAGCGCCGGCUAACUACGUGCCAGCAGCCGCGGUAAUACGUAGGGCGCAAGCGUUGUCCGGAAUUAUUGGGCGUAAAGAGCUCGUAGGCGGCUUGUCACGUCGGGUGUGAAAGCCCGGGGCUUAACCCCGGGUCUGCAUUCGAUACGGGCUAGCUAGAGUUCGGUAGGGGAGAUCGGAAUUCCUGGUGUAGCGGUGAAAUGC